rnacentral:rRNA from 1 species
UCGACGAGGUCGCAAGACCUAGUGGCGGACGGGUGAGUAACACGUGACCAACCAACCUCGAAGUUGGGAAUAGCUCUGCGAAAGCAGGGGUAAUACCGAAUGUGGCCCGGCGCGGACAUCCGCACCGGUCUAAAGAUUUAUCGCUUCGAGACGGGGUCGCGGCCUAUUAGCUUGUUGGUGGGGUAACGGCCUACCAAGGCGAUGAUGGGUAGCUGGUCUGAGAGGACGACCAGCCACACUGGGACUGAGACACGGCCCAGACUCCUACGGGAGGCAGCAGUGAGGAAUCUUCCGCAAUGGGCGAAAGCCUGACGGAGCAACGCCGCGUGUGGGAUGAAGACUCUAGGGUUGUAAACCACUGUCGGAGGGGACGAUCGUGACGGUACCCUCCAAGAAAGCCCCGGCUAACUACGUGCCAGCAGCCGCGGUAAUACGUAGGGGGCGAGCGUUAUCCGGAUUUACUGGGCGUAAAGCGCGUUAAGGCGGAUGGCCAAGUUGGCGGUGAAAUUUCGGGGCUCAACCCCGAAACUGCCGCCAAAACUAGUCGUCUAGAGUAUGGGAGAGGAAGGUGGAAUUCCGGGUGUAGUAGUGAAAUGCGUAGAUAUCCGGAGGAACACCAGCGGCGAAGGCGGCCUUCUGGCCCAUAACUGACGCUGUAGCGCGAAAGCGUGGGGAGCGAACGGGAUUAGAUACCCCGGUAGUCCACGCCCUAAACUUUGUGCACUACGUGUUGGGUGUAUUGACGCGCUC